GCUUGAUGACAGUGAGAGGUUUUUUAGAUAUUUAUUUUUCACAGUGUGUGUCUGUAGAGUAUGGGAGGUAUUCAAACUGCCCCUGCCCCUUUCUUUCAAACCCUAUUCUUAAUUUAGUGAAAUCAUUCAUUAUGUAGGCACUAGAAAGAGGUGCAACCCUACUUCUCACAGUGAAAAUUCAAAAUAGGCAAUUUUACUCAUUCUCUUCCCAAAUUUUUAUAAUCCAGCUUCCUGAAAUUCGAGUGGCAACAUGUGACACAUUCUUAGCCAUGAAAAUGCCUCUGCAUUGCGUGGAGAGUUUAUUUCAAAGGCAGUCUGGAAUCCACCAAAACUAUGAGGUUACUAGGAUGAAGCCUCUAAUCAAUAGCAGUAAUCACACCAUGGAAGCUAUUCAUCUAGCUGAUUAAGUCAUACCCAUGGGACACUGAUAGAGUGGUGACAACAUGGCAGCAUUUUAUUAUUCACAGGAAGUAGACAGUAAACAAGGCAGAUGCAUGCUUAUCUGGUCCCCUGGGGAUGUGGGUGUCUGCGAGGAUUUGGAAGUCUGUCUGGAUGAAAUGUAGACAUCUCUUUGUGUGUCUCAGAUUGUAAUAUUAAAAAAGGAUCUUCAAGCCUGGCACCCACCAUUAUUUUUACAACAAAUGUGAGAAAGUAGCUUGGGGACGAAGUCUGACCUCCACCUGUUACCCGAGGGGAAAGAGAAUCCAAUUAGACAUCUUCCCAAGAAUGAUUCCUAAGAAUGACCAAGGUUGCAGGCUUUACUUUUGCAGACAUAGAUGAUACUUGGUUGCUGAUGUAAAUUUAAGCACACAUGUGUAAUCUGUGUGUUUGGAAAGAACCUAAACAGUAGGUAGCAUGAUGAUAAAUGGGAAAAACAAGCCAAAACCACACUGUCAUCCUGCUGGAAUCCACAAUCAAGGGUCAGGAAAGCAGCAGUCAAGAGAUCCAAGGGUGUUUGACCUUGGGGAAAUUGGCGCAAAACGUAUAUGAAGCGUGGAAAAGCUUGGGCGUACUUUAAGGACUCAGGUGCACCUGACUCAGGCCAUGAUCUUUUCCAUGGCCGCAUAUGAAUGUGGAAGUUGGACAUUGAAGAGGAAGACUGACGAA